rnacentral:rRNA from 1 species
UGUGUCAGCCGCCGCGGUAAUACGUAGGGGGCGAGCGUUGUCCGGAAUUACUGGGCGUAAAGGGUGCGUAGGCGGCCCUUUAAGUCGGAUGUGAAAGCCCGCGGCUUAACCGCGGAAUGGCAUUCGAAACUGGAGGGCUUGAGUGUCGGAGAGGGUAGUGGAAUUCCCAGUGUAGCGGUGAAAUGCGUAGAUAUUGGGAGGAACACCAGUGGCGAAGGCGACUACCUGGACGAUAACUGACGCUGAGGCACGAAAGCUAGGGGAGCAAACAGGAUUAGAUACCCUGGUAGUCCUAGCCGUAAACGUUGGAUACUGGGUAUUGGGGGUGACAAUGCCCUCAGUGCCGAAGCGAACGCGUUAAGUAUCCCGCCUGGGGACUACGGCCGCAAGGUUAAAACUCAAAGGAAUUGACGGGGGCCCGCACAAGCAGCGGAGCGUGUGGUUUUAAUUCGAUGCAACGCGAAGAACCUUACCAGGUCUUGACAUCCUACGAAUACUUAGGAAACUAGGUAGUGCCUUCGGGAGCGUAGAGACAGGUGGUGCAUGGUUGUCGUCAGCUCGUGUCGUGAGAUGUUGGGUUAAGUCCCACAACGAGCGCAACCCCUGUUGCCAGUUAGAGCUUUCUGGCGAGACUGCCGGCACAUAACCGGAGGAAGGUGGGGAUGACGUCAAGUCCGCAUGGCCUUUAUGUCCAGGGCUACACACACGCUACAAUGGUCGGUACAGAGGGCAGCCAAGCCGCGAGGUGGAGCUAAUCCCACAAAGCCGGCCUCAGUUCAGAUUGCAGGCUGCAACUCGCCUGCAUGAAGGAGGAGUUGCUAGUAACCGCAGGUCAGCCAUACUGCGGUGAAUACGUUCCCGGGCCUUGUACACACCGCCCGUCACGUCAUGGGAGCUGGCAAUACCUGAAGUCGGUGCGCCAACCGCAAGGGGGCAGCCGCCGAAGGUAGGGCUAGUGACUGGGACGAAGUCGUAACAAGGUAGCCA